GGGGCUCGCGCCGUCUGGAGCUGCGUUGCUCCGUCCUCCCCAUCGCUUCGUGUGCGAGCGGCCCGGCCACGCCUCUUUCCCCUCAGAUUGGACAGAGAAUCUCUGUGGAGGCCUUUGCCCUGCAGGUUGCUACUGCUGUGGUUAGGGUUGCACACCUAAAGGUGAAGCGUGACCCCUGACACUGAACAAUGGGGAGACCCAGGAAAAACCCUGACAGCACAGCCUCA